GUGCCAGCCGCCGCGGUAAUACGUAGGUGGCAAGCGUUAUCCGGAAUUACUGGGCGUAAAGCGCACGCAGGUGGCUUGUUAAGUCUGACGUGAAAGCUCCUGGCUUAACUGGGAGAGGUCGUUGGAGACUGGCAGGCUUGAGGCGAGGAGAGGGGUGUAGAAUUCCCGGUGUAGUGGUGGAAUGCGUAGAUAUCGGGGGGAAUACCAGUGGCGAAAGCGGCACCCUGGCCUUGGCCUGACGCUCAGGUGCGAAAGCGUGGGGAGCAAACGGGAUUAGAUACCCGUGUAGUCC
rnacentral:rRNA from 1 species